rnacentral:rRNA from 1 species
GCGUUGUCCGGAUUUACUGGGUGUAAAGGGCGUGCAGCCGGGAAUGCAAGUCAGAUGUGAAAUCCAUGGGCUUAACCCAUGAACUGCAUUUGAAACUGUAUUUCUUGAGUACUGGAGAGGCAAUCGGAAUUCCUAGUGUAGCGGUGAAAUGCGUAGAUAUUAGGAGGAACACCAGUGGCGAAGGCGGAUUGCUGGACAGCAACUGACGGUGAGGCGCGAAAGUGUGGGGAGCAAACAGGAUUAGAUACCCUGGUAGUCCACACUGUAAACGAUGAAUACUAGGUGUGCGGGGACUGACCCCCUGCGUGCCGCAGUUAACACAAUAAGUAUUCCACCUGGGGAGUACGAUCGCAAGGUG